rnacentral:rRNA from 1 species
AGUGAACGCUGGCGGUAGGCCUAACACAUGCAAGUCGAACGGCAGCACAUUAAGAGUUUUCUCUUACGGGUGUCGUGUGGCUGACUGGUGGGGAAUACAUCGGCAUCUACUUUUUCGUCGCUUCUAACGUAGGUAAACUUACGCUACUACCGCAUAUGCCCUACGGUUUAUUUCAGCGGCUUUUCCGACCUUGCGCAAUUUUAUGAGUCGAUGUCGGAUUCGCUAGUUGGCGGGGUAAAGGCCUACCAAGGCGACGCUCCGUAGCUGGUCUGAGAGGAUGAUCAGCAACACGAGAACUGAGACACGGUGCAAAAUCCGAAGGGAGGCAGCAGUGGGGAAUAUUGGAGAAGGAGCACAAGCGAGAACCAGCCAAACCGCGUGAGUGAAGAAGACCUUCGGGUUGUGAAGCAAGUUUGUUGGGAAAGAAAAGCAGCAGGUUAAUACCGAGCAGUACUGACGGUACCCAAAGAAUAAGCAACGGCUAACUUCGUG